CGGGUGGAACGGGGACCAAGGCGGGGAACAGGGAAGUUCUUCCCGGCCGCGUUUCCGUGCGAGGCCGCUCCGCCUCAGAGCGCUGGCGGUGGCGUCGGGACGCAGGACCGGGAUGCGGGAGAGAGCCAUAGCACUACACGGGUCCGUCACAGCCCACGGCACUCCAAGGAAUUGUGACCUGGGAAGAUAAAGAGAAGGCUCCACAAGGGAGACACUCCUUUGGAUGGCUGGAAGGUGCCCAAGAUCUGAAGAAGGAGAUUGAGACAUCGUUGUCUAUUAAGAUUUACUCCAGGCCCUGCUUACUGACAGUCCCUCUGGGUGUCCUCAGGACAACACAGUGAUGCUGAGAUAGAAAGGCUUUCCUACAGCAUCGACUCCCAGGUACUGCCAAUUCCCAUCCUCCCUUGCUGUGGUUUGAAACCAGG
rnacentral:lncRNA from 1 species